UACGAAGGGGGCUAGCGUUGUUCGGAUUUACUGGGCGUAAAGCGCACGUAGGCGGAUCUUUAAGUCAGAGGUGAAAUCCCAAGGCUCAACCUUGGAACUGCCUUUGAUACUGGGGAUCUUGAGUCCGGGAGAGGUGAGUGGAACUGCGAGUGUAGAGGUGAAAUUCGUAGAUAUUCGCAAGAACACCAGUGGCGAAGGCGGCUCACUGGCCCGGAACUGACGCUGAGGUGCGAAAGCGUGGGGAGCAAACAGG
rnacentral:rRNA from 1 species